rnacentral:tRNA from 1 species
GGUGGCUCAGUGGUAGAGUACUUGCCUUGCAUGCAUGAGGCCCUAGGUUCAAUUCCUCAGCACUA